rnacentral:rRNA from 1 species
GUGCCAGCAGCCGCGGUAAUACGGGGGGUGCAAGCGUUGUCCGGAAUCACCGGGCGUAAAGGGUGCGCAGGCGGGGCAGCAAGUCGGAGGUGAAAGCCCGUGGCUCAACCACGGAAGUGCCUUCGAAACUGUUGCUCUUGAGUCCCGGAGAGGUUGCCGGAAUUCGUGGUGUAGCGGUGAAAUGCGUAGAUAUCACGAGGAACACCAGAGGCGAAAGCGGGCAACUGGACGGGUACUGACGCUCAGGCACGAAAGCGCGGGGAGCAAACAGGAUUAGAAACCCCUGUGUCC